GAUGAACGCUAGCUACAGGCUUAACACAUGCAAGUCGAGGGGAAACGACAUCGAAAGCUUGCUUUUGAUGGGCGUCGACCGGCGCACGGGUGAGUAACGCGUAUCCAACCUGCCCAUCACUUGGGAAUAACCUUGCGAAAGUAAGACUAAUACCCAAUGAUAUCCCACGAAGACAUCUGAAUGGGAUUAAAGAUUUAUCGGUGAUGGAUGGGGAUGCGUCUGAUUAGCUUGUUGGCGGGGUAACGGCCCACCAAGGCAACGAUCAGUAGGGGUUCUAAGAGGAAGGUCCCCCACAUUGGAACUGAGACACGGUCCAAACUCCUACGGGAGGCAGCAGUGAGGAAUAUUGGUCAAUGGGCGAGAGCCUGAACCAGCCAAGUAGCGUGCAGGAUGACGGCCCUAUGGGUUGUAAACUGCUUUUAUAAGGGAAUAAAGUGGGUCUCGUGAGACUUUUUGCAUGUACCUUAUGAAUAAGGACCGGCUAAUUCCGUG
rnacentral:rRNA from 1 species